UACGAAGGGGGCUAGCGUUGCUCGGAAUUACUGGGCGUAAAGCGCACGUAGGCGGCUUUCUAAGUCGGGGUGGAAAUCCUGGAGCUCAACUCCAGAACUGCCUUCGAUACUGGAAAGCUCGAGUCCGGGAGAGGUGAGUGGAACUGCGAGUGUAGAGGUGAAAUUCGUAGAUAUUCGCAAGAACACCAGUGGCGAAGGCGGCUCACUGGCCCGGUACUGACGCUGAGGUGCGAAAGCGUGGGGAGCAAACAGGG
rnacentral:rRNA from 1 species